rnacentral:tRNA from 1 species
GGGCCCGUAUCUCAAUCGGUUAGAGAAACUGACUCAUAAUCAGGAGGUUGUCGGUUCAAGUCCGGCCGGGCCCA